rnacentral:rRNA from 1 species
GACGAACGCUGGCGGCGUGCUUAACACAUGCAAGUGGAGCGACGAACCGGGCUUCGGCCCGGGGCAAAGCCGCGAACGGGUGAGUAUCACGUGGGUAACCUGCCCCGAUGACCGGGACAACCCGAGGAAACUCGGGCUAAUACCGGAUGUGCUCUCAAUCCACCAGGGUUGAGAACAAAGGAAGCUUCGGCCUCCGCAUUGGGAUGGGCCCGCGGCCCAUUAGCUUGUUGGUGAGGUAAAGGCUCACCAAGGCGACGAUGGGUAGCUGGUCUGAGAGGACGAUCAGCCACACUGGGACUGAGACACGGCCCAGACUCCUACGGGAGGCAGCAGUGGGGAAUCUUGCGCAAUGCGCGAAAGCGUGACGCAGCAACGCCGCGUGAGGGAAGAAGGCCUUCGGGUUGUAAACCUCUUUCAGGAGGGACGAAGGUUCAGGCGCGAAUAGCGUCCUGGACUGACGGUACCUCCAGAAGAAGCCCCGGCUAACUACGUGCCAGCCGCCGCGGUAACAC